UACGUAGGUGACCAGCGUUGUCCGGAUUUACUGGGCGUAAAGCGUGCGCAGGCGGUGAUGUAAGACAGGUGUGAAAUCCCCGGGCUUAACCUGGGAACUGCAUUUGUGACUGCAUCGCUGGAGUGCGGCAGAGGGGGAUGGAAUUCCGCGUGUAGCAGUGAAAUGCGUAGAUAUGCGGAGGAACACCGAUGGCGAAGGCAAUCCCCUGGGCCUGCACUGACGCUCAUGCACGAAAGCGUGGGGAGCAAACAGG
rnacentral:rRNA from 1 species